AGAGUUUGAUCCUGGCUCAGAAUCAACGCUGGCGGCGUGCCUAACACAUGCAAGUCGCACGAGAAAGGGACUUCGGUCCUGAGUACAGUGGCGCACGGGUGAGUAACACGUGAAUCAUCUACCUCCGAGUGGGGAAUAACUGAGAGAAAUCUUAGCUAAUACCGCAUAAUACCUACGGGUCAAAGCAGCAAUGCGCUUGAAGAGGAGUUCGCGGCAGAUUAGUUAGUUGGCGGGGUAAUGGCCCACCAAGACGAUGAUCUGUAUCCGGCCUGAGAGGGCGCACGGACACACUGGAACUGAAACACGGUCCAGACUCCUACGGGAGGCAGCAGUGGGGAAUUUUGCGCAAUGGGGGAAACCCUGACGCAGCAACGCCGCGUGGAGGAUGAAAUCCCUUGGGAUGUAGACUCCUUUCGAUCGGGAAGAUAAUGACGGUA
rnacentral:rRNA from 1 species